rnacentral:rRNA from 1 species
UUGCUCUCUUGGUGGCGAGGGAGAGACGGGGGAGGAAUAUAUCGGAACGUGCCCAGUAGCGGGGGAUAACUACUCGAAAGAGUGGCUAAUACCGCAUACGCCCUACGGGGGAAAGGGGGGGAUCGCAAGACUUCUCACUAUUGGAGCGGCCGAUAUCGGAUUAGCUAGUUGGUGGGGUAAAGGCUCACCAAGGCAACGAUCCGUAGCUGGUUUGAGAGGACGACCAGCCACACUGGGACUGAGACACGGCCCAGACUCCUACGGGAGGCAGCAGUGGGGAAUUUUGGACAAUGGGGGAAACCCUGAUCCAGCCAUCCCGCGUGUAUGAUGAAGGCCUUCGGGUUGUAAAGUACUUUUGGCAGAGAAGAAAAGGCAUCUCCUAAUACGGGAUGCUGCUGACGGUAUCUGCAGAAUAAGCACCGGCUAACUACGUGCCAGCAGCCGCGGUAAUACGUAGGGUGCAAGCGUUAAUCGGAAUUACUGGGCGUAAAGCGUGUGUA